UACGUAGGGUGCGAGCGUUGUCCGGAAUUAUUGGGCGUAAAGAGCUCGUAGGCGGUGUGUCACGUCGUUCGUGAAAACCUGCAGCUUAACUGUGGGCGUGCGGUCGAUACGGGCAUCACUGGAGUUCGGCAGGGGAGACUGGAAUUCCUGGUGUAGCGGUGAAAUGCGCAGAUAUCUGGAGGAACACCGGUGGCGAAGGCGGCAUCCUGGACCGGUAUUGACGCUGAGGCGCGAAAGCCAGGGGAGCAAACGGG
rnacentral:rRNA from 1 species